UACGAAGGGCGCAAGCGUUGUCCGGAAUUAUUGGGCGUAAAGAGCUCGUAGGCGGCUUGUCACGUCGGAUGUGAAAGCCCGGGGCUUAACCCCGGGUCUGCAUUCGAUACGGGCAGGCUAGAGUUCGGUAGGGGAGAUCGGAAUUCCUGGUGUAGCGGUGAAAUGCGCAGAUAUCAGGAGGAACACCGGUGGCGAAGGCGGAUCUCUGGGCCGAUACUGACGCUGAGGAGCGAAAGCGUGGGGAGCGAACAGG
rnacentral:rRNA from 1 species